rnacentral:rRNA from 1 species
CACGUAGGGCGCAAGCGUUGUCCGGAAUUAUUGGGCGUAAAGAGCUCGUAGGCGGUCUGUUACGUCUGCUGUGAAAACCCGGGGCUUAACCCUGGGCUUGCAGUGGAUACGGGCAGACUAGAGGCAGGUAGGGGAGAAUGGAAUUCCCGGUGUAGCGGUGAAAUGCGCAGAUAUCGGGAAGAACACCCGUGGCGAAGGCGGUUCUCUGGGACGGUACUGACGCUGAGACGCGAAAGCGUGGGGAGCGAACAGG